rnacentral:rRNA from 1 species
GAUGAACGCUGGCGGUAUGCUUAACACAUGCAAGUCGAACGGGCUCUUCGGAGCUAGUGGCGGACGGGUGAGUAACGCGUGAGGAUCUACCUACAGGACUGGGACAACAGCUGGAAACGGCUGCUAAAACCGGAUGUGCCGAGAGGUGAAAUAUUUAUAGCCUGUAGAUGAGCUCGCGUCUGAUUAGCUAGUUGGUAGUGUAAUGGACUACCAAGGCGACGAUCAGUAGCUGGUCUGAGAGGACGAUCAGCCACACUGGGACUGAGACACGGCCCAGACUCCUACGGGAGGCAGCAGUGGGGAAUUUUCCGC